AAUGAGUGAUGACAAAAUGUUUCGGUCCCAAAUGACAUGGAAUGAUUCUAUCUUCCCAUUUUCUGACAUU
ensembl:snoRNA SNORD73 Small nucleolar RNA SNORD73